GUUCUCCUCUUAUAUUUAAUGCGUUUCCCUCAGUUUUAGUUUUUUACCCCAAUUUUGUUUUUAUGCCCCACCUACGAUAGUAGAGGGGCAUUAUGUUUUCUGGUCUAUGCAUCUGUUCGUCCGUCCGUCUUUGCCUCCGUUUGUCCGUCCGUCUGUGCGUCCGUUCGCUUCAGGUUAAAGUUUUUGGUCAAGGUAGUUUUUGAAGAAGUUGAAGUCUAAUCAACUUGAAACUUAG
rnacentral:lncRNA from 1 species